ensembl:lncRNA
GUGAAAAUAAUGCACGCGCCGCCUGGCACACAGAAGGCCCUGGACGCAGGGCACCCAGGAGAGAGACUGACACCGAGCCCCAGUGGAGGUGACACGGGAGCUGAAUCAGGGUCUUAAGGCUAACGAGGUACCUUCGAGGGAGUUCAGGCCAUGAGGACCAGGGAGGUGGAGAAACAGCAGAAAGGGGAGGGACAAGGGGACCGUCCUAGCCUGGUGUCGUGGCUCCCCCGGGCCCACGUACCUUGCCCUCGUGGCAGCGCUCGGCCGCGCUCACCGACCUGGCCUUGAUGACCAGCAGCACGAAGAGAGGCUCCAGGAAGCCGGCGGCGGGUAAGGCCACGAGGUUGCUGCCCACGAGCUAAGGAGCUGUGCCCCCAACUGUCCUCGUUGGCCCCGCCCCUCACCCAGGCUACGCCCCAACGGCGCAGCCCACAACCCGAGUGUCCAUCCUCUCCCUCCGCUCCAGCCCCGGGUAAACCUCACCCCACCCUGCUGUCCAGGCCCCGGGCCACCUUCUGCCCACCUCCAUCCACCUCGCUGCUAGAUUCUCAACUCUCCGCAGAGCCUCCGAGACCCGCCCAUCUCCCCGACCCUACCGCCCUCACUCCUCCCAGACUGAUCCUCCCAAACGGCUCCUCUCUCGGACCCCGCCCACCGCUCGCCCCGCCCCUGUGACCUGGUCUGUCCCUUGGCUGUCCCUGCCCUCCCCACUGCUCCCCUGGAGGGCGCCACAGCCUGGCGGAUACGCGACGAUCUCGUCCAUAGAGAAGGGAAGCUGAGUCCUGUACACUGGGAACAUCAGGACGGUGACCAGCAUGGCGCCCGAGAACAGGCAUAGCGACAGGACCUACAGCAUGAAGACACGGAAAUUGCGGUGACAGACGCAGUUGUUGACCCACUUGCAGUGGCGGUCAAAGUCCUGGGCAAGAGGAUGGGGGGCUCCCCUGCAGGACCAGGCCUGGCCUCCAUAGCCCCCAAACCUGAGCCUUACCCUAGACCCCUAGGCUAGCUGGUCCCCGGCACUGGCUCUGUUUCCUGGGAGAAACGAAGCCACAAAGUCCCAAUCGCUGGCUUUUCUGUGGUUAGAGCACUUCAGGGCUCUGUGGCUCAAGGUCACCUGUCAAGAGGCCUCUAGAGACUAGGCCUGCCUGGCCUUCUGUGGGAACAUCCUGAUGUAACCUUGGGCAGGACAGAGAAUAUCUUGGGCCCUCUCUUUCCUCAUCCACUGAAUGAGAGUAAGGUUGACUUCCCUUCACCAGCCUCCCAGGGUUUUGUAAGUAGCAGAUAAGACAGCACAUUUGUAAACCUUGGCAGGCCAUGCACGAGAGAGACAAGCUCUCAGAACACAGUUGAUUGUCUGGCAUGGAACCCCAGAAGAGGACAGGCAAAUCCUCCCAGGCUGGGCCUGCAGCUGGCCAUAGGGCCCUGGGGCAUCUAGUGUCAGCGAGGCCUGGUGUAGGACAAGGGUGCCUUUCCUCCCCCUGGCCUGACCAGGGCAAGCAUAGAUGUGGAUGCACCUGUGCCUGUCAGCACCUGGCUAGGCAAGGGCCAGCCUCCCAGGACAGCUGCAGGCACAGAUGCAGUGACCUGCAUGAGUGACCAAGAGUGGCUGGGAGUGACUGCCACUCUUGGCAUUUAGCAGUCUUGGAAGUAGUUUCACACCUGCCACGGGCACCUCAAGGGCUGAGAACUCACCUUGAUGCAAGAUGCCAGGGUCUGACACAUUGAGGGAAACGAGACUGAAGAAGGUCAGGAUGAAGAGGGGGCAUGUGACAACGGGAUCGACCCAUUCCCUGUUCUGGACCAGCCAUCUGCAACUGAGACCAGAGCAGGACUCAGCCCUGAUCUGCAGGAGAAACCUGCUGGCCUGGGUGGGAGACUCAUGGGAAUGUGAAGAAGAGGCCACUAAGGACGAGCAGCAGCACGACACUGAAGGCAGCGAACAGGCUCAGGAGCAUCCAGGGAAGUGGGUCCUGAGGUCUGCCACCCCGCAAGAGAGCGGCAUGGCAGCACCUCCAGUGCCCAUAGGCGCCCUUGCCGAUACUGGCUCCAGGAGCCCUAUGUCGACAGCGACUGUUGAAGACAUAUUGAGCGCCCAAGCCACAGCCCAGGUUGGAAGGCAGAAGUCCCAGUGUGACAUCACCGAGGCUGAGGAGAAUGUGGGCUAGGGGCUCUGCAGCCUGUGACCAGCACUUCCAACGGCAACGCCCGCCACCCCCACUGGCUGGGGACUGAGAGGUCCUGCCCCUGCCAGUAUGUGAGUGAGCUGCCUUUCCCAGAAAGUCAAGGUCCAGACAUCAAGAUUCAGCCUCACAAAGCCAAAAGCAGGCUGAAGAUGAAAACUAACCAGAAAAGUCCAGUUGGUCAAGGAAAAAGAAAUUCAGUCUUCAAGGCCCAACACAGGCUGGCAGGAAGGCCCUAACCUGCAUGGCCACAGGCUCCCACCCACCUACAUAAAACCCCAGCACAUGCUCUCCUUCCCCUACCUAAAACCCUAGAGAAAAACCUACCUUUUUCCCUUCAAGGAGGUGGAUCUGAGUUCUAACUCCCAUCUCCUCCUCUUUCAAUACUAAAGGUCUUUUCUUGCCACAA